UAGGGAAUCUUCGGCAAUGGACGGAAGUCUGGCCGAGCAACGCCGCGUGAGUGAAGAAGGUUUUCGGAUCGUAAAGCUCUGUUGUAAGAGAAGAACGAGUGUGAGAGUGGAAAGUUCACACUGUGACGGUAUCUUACCAGAAAGGGACGGCUAACUACGUGCCAGCAGCCGCGGUAAUACGUAGGUCCCGAGCGUUGUCCGGAUUUAUUGGGCGUAAAGCGAGCGCAGGCGGUUAGAUAAGUCUGAAGUUAAAGGCUGUGACUUAACCAUAGUAGGCUUUGGAAACUGUUUAACUUGAGUGCAAGAGGGGAGAGUGGAAUUCCAUGUGUAGCGGUGAAAUGCGUAGAUAUAUGGAGGAACACCGGUGGCGAAAGCGGCUCUCUGGCUUGUAACUGACGCUGAGGCUCGAAAGCGUGGGGAGCAAACAGGAUUAGAUACCCUGGUAGUCCACGCUGUAAACGAUGAGUGCUAGGUGUUAGACCCUUUCCGGGGUUUAGUGCCGUAGCUAACGCAUUAAGCACUCCGCCUGGGGGAGUACGACCGCAAGGUUG
rnacentral:rRNA from 1 species